CAAAAGCAGUAUUAGGUAGUUCUGUGGGCUUAUUCAGCAGCAGAUGUUUUUUAACUGCUCACACACUACGCUAUUUUGAGAACAUAGGUGUUCAAAUACUGUGGAGUCUUUUCCUCCUGAACUACCAUGAACUUCAGAGAGGCCUCUGGGGAUAGCCAAGAGUUCAUCAUGGUUGUGCAGGAGGUAGUUUAUGAGGAACAGAGAGAAUGAGAAGGCCUUGUUCUCUAGUAUUGGCACACAUCAUCCCGCAAAGUAUUAUCCUUUUUCAAGGGACAUAUUCUUCCUCCAAAUUCUUCUCUCAUGAGAAUAAGUUAAGAAUUGAAAAGUAGAAAGGAAUGAAUAUCUCUGAAACUUCAUACAUAUUUAUAUAGCAAACUAGGCAUUAUUAUUUUAAAUAUAGAUAAAUAUGCUAAUCAAACUUAAUGCGAUUUUCUGACAAGCAGUAAGCACUGGCUUGCUGGAUUAAGUCUGUGGAAAUGGAAGGUUGAUAACAGAAUUUUGGGAGUAAAGGCUGUCAUUGUGAGUGAUAAGACCAAGCUAAUAAAAUCAGACUGAUUUAACUUCCUGCAGAAACAAAUAAGAACAAAAUAAGAGCAUGUAUUUUAACAACCUUGUAUACUUAUUGCUUACUAGCUUGUGUUAGAUUGAAAACUAUGAACGUUAGAUUCAAAAACCUUAUGAUUAGUGAGUCCAGUCUCUCUGUCUCAGUAUAUGACCUCAUUUUUCCUAUGCAUGUGGUUGCCUUUCUGGUACAUUUUUGUUAGAUCAGCUGACUUUGAUGAGGAGGAACAAAGACGUGUUUGUAAGAUACUUCUGGUGGUAUUUUGCUUGUUUGUUAGUUUUCAGUGAAUGCCUGGACAAAUAAAAUUAGGUCUUUUACAAGGCUUUUCACCACCACAUUCACCAUAGAGACACCAGACCUGCAUCAGGUGGAAUUUGUUGGGUAGACUAGUUCUAGGAAAAGGAUUACAGUGCAUUCCAGAACAAGUUCAUAUCCCACCUUGUGACCUAGACCGGCCUAUUUAUCCACUCUUCAGAUACAAGUAUGUGUUCCAUGAGCCUUCUUUAUAAUAAUGUGACAGACAGCCUUUGUUAUCCUUUAAUAUAAACAGUAAACAUCCAAUAAAUGGUUUCUGGUACUACUAAUCUGUUGCUGUAUGCCAAUACCCACGCAUAGUCUCCACGUGCCUGUAGCCCGCACAAUAAGAUCUCUUUGUUAUAUUAAUACAUCGAAUUUUUUUAUUCCAGUUCUACAUUUUCAUGUUGAAUUUUAUCUGUGAAAACAUUCUUUUGUAUAUUUUUGUUGAAAUGAUAAAAAAAUAGAGGUGAAAAACGUGGCAUGUUUAGAAGCUCAUUGAUAUAGAUAAAAUGUUUUACUGGUGCUCUUUGAAUUACUGGUGCUCUUUGAAUUAACUUGUGUACUUAUUUUAAUAGGUUCAGAAUGAAUCCCACCUGUGUUGUGUGGGGCAUAAUUUGGUUUCUCAUAUGGUUCUUCAUUGGAUGGCCCAUAAGCUCGUUCUUAGGAGGACUGUAUGGAUUCUUGGCUCCACUCAUUACUUUGAUAGGGCUAGAUGACUUCAGUGAAGUUUUAUUGAAGGGAGUAAAUAUAGGGAGGGAGUGUGCUAAAAAUGUACACUCUGGAAAGGCUUUGUUUUAACAAUGAAGGCCACUACUACAACAAAGCAUUCUUCUUUAUCCUGCAGUACAUUUUACAACUGUUAAUUAUAUUCAAAAUGUUCCAAUUUCUGUCCAAAAGCAGCUUGUGUUUUCCAGAGUAUGUAAUUCACAUUUGGCAUUCUGUAAAGAAGUAAGUUUAGUCAAAUUUAUAUUAGAAACUGCAGUUUCUUUUUAUAUCAUAUAUAUCUCAAAGAAAACCUGAAUAACACCCCACAUCUCAGCCUGAUAUGUGUGUCUUGCCAAAUCAUCAAACCGUGAAGAUACAAUAAUUUGGAACUGACUUAUCUGCUGUGUCUGAACCCCUGCUGAAUGUUAAAAAUGCAGUCAUUAAAUUUGCUGGGAUAUAUUGGAUUGUUGACAUUUGCUUUAUUAAGUGAAUUAUUUCUAAAUUAGAUCUUUGUUGUUCUUUCAAGUUAAUUUCCAUAACUGCAGUUAUUAAGGUAUAAACUGAUAUGUGUUAAUAGCUUCAUUGGUCAUUAUAUUUGGCUGUCUAUAUUUUAGAAAGCACCCUUUUUGUAUGGAUUCCUUAUCAAUAUAAUUGUUCAGAUAUAUUUAUGCACCUGUUGUAAUAAAUACAGUUAUUAAAGUUAA